AAGACAGUGUUGUUUCCGGAGGCGCCUAAGUGAUCCCGCAGCGACUCUGAGGAGGACCCUGAGGGUCGGGCAUUCUUGCCCUGACCGGCCUCUGCUGGACGCCCACCGGGGAAUCAGGGAGAUACACGGGGCCCCGGCUUCCAGGAGCGCAGCCAGGCCACAGCCCUGAGGACGGGCAAACCCACCCAGGCGCGGCAGGCUUUGGUGGAGGGGCUGGAUCUCCUGCCGCACCUUCCCUGGCAGGGCACCCUGUGCUUGAGCCCCAGAACUGCAGGCGGCCGGCAGAGAAGGGGUCCAUGAUGGCGCCUCGGUGCGCAGCCUUGGACCUGCCCCCAUGGACCUGGGUGAGGACUUCCCAGCCCUUCCCCGGCUCCAGCUGCUCUCCCUAAGGGCCGCCUCACCCCUUCCUCGGGCAGGGGGCAGUGGACGAGGGUUCCGUCCCUCCAGGGGAUGCUCCCAAACCCCUGCCAGGACUUGGCAGAUCCGGCCUCUCAUCUUGGCAGCUAGAUGGUGGGACGGGAUCAUCGUGGUGGCUUUAAUUUGCAUUUCUCUGAUGACUGAUGAUUUCGAGCAUCUCUUCAUAUGUUUGCUGGCUUUGGGGAUAGAGAUAUUUCUUCCUAAAGCAAAACUUGAUUAUGUCAUUUCUGCUUCAAGAUGCCAGUGAUGCCUGAGGUCUGCAGGGCAGUGCAGACGCUCACCGCCUGGCCGCUCAGGAGCCUGUGCUUGACCCCCAAAUCCGCCCCCCAACUCCCUGUUACCGGCUCACUCCUUCCAUGAGGGGCCUUCCCCAGGGACAGCCGAUGCUCUCCUGAUGGCUCCUGCCCUUGCAGAGUGCUGCCCCCGCCUGCCCACCUGGCCUGGACCCUCGCCUGAGCCCCCUCAGGGCUCUGCGCCACCUCAACCCAGGCGUUUGUUCCGCAGGAACCUCCCGGCUCUUCCCACUCGGGAAAGGAAGGCUCUGGGCAUGGAGGUCGGCCAGGCCCCAUCCCCGUACCCUGGCCCUUCUUCCUGCUUCCUGUUUGUCACUGCCCCGGGGCCUUUGCACCUGCAUUCCCUCUCUCUGUGAGUGUCCUGGGGCCCGUUACCCACGUCACCGUCCCAGGAUACCUUUUCUUUUCUUUCUCUCUCUCCAGCUUUAUUGAGGUAUAGUUGACAAUUCAGGACGGUGUGCACUCAAGGUAUGCAGCAUCACAACCUGACACACGUAGGCAUUGUGAAAUGAGUCCCACAAUUGGGCUAAUUAACACACCCAUCACCUUACAUGGUUACUUCUUUCUGUGGUGAGAACACUAAAUUUUAAAUAGAGGACACACAGCCUGGGCAACAUAGUGAGACCCUGUCUCUACAAAUAUAAAAAAAUUAUCUGGACGUGGUGGUGCACACCUGUGGUCCCAGCUACUUGGGAAGCUGAGGCUGGAGAAUCACUUGAGCCUGGGAGGCGGAGGUUGCGGUGCACUCCAGCCUGGGCGACAGAGGGAGGCCCUAUCUCAAAAUAAAUAAAUAAAGGACACAUUCUUAUCAGCUGUAGUCACCACGUUCAUUACAUCUUAGAACCCGCUAAUCUCAUAACUGCACCUUUGUUCCCUGUGACCCUCAACUCCCGGUCCCCUCCAGCCCUGACAGCCACUGUUCACUCUGCUUCUGUGAGUUCCGCUUUUUCACACGUCACUCGAGUGAGGCCAUGUGCUGUUUGUCUUUCUGUGCCUGGCUUAUCUCACUUACCACAAAUGCCCUUCAGGUUCAUCGUGUCCUCACAAAUGGCGGGCUUGCCCUGCCCUGCCCUGCCCUGCCCUCCCUUCCCUUCCCUUCUCUCUCUCUCCUUUCUCUCUCUCUGUCUCUCUCUCUCUCCCCCCCUUCCCUUUUCCUCCUGUGGAAUAACACUCCUGUAUGUGUGUGUACGCAUGUGUGUGUAUACGCGUGUGUGUACGCAUGUGUGUGUAUACGUGUGUGUACGCAUGUGUGUGUAU
rnacentral:lncRNA from 10 species